rnacentral:rRNA from 1 species
GAUUAACGCUAGCGGAAGGCACAAUACAUGCAAGUCGAACGGGAUAGAACUUAGCAAUAGGUUCUUGAGAGUGGCGCACGGGUGCGUAACUCGUAUGCAACCUGCCCUUAAUCGGGGGAUAGCCUCUCGAAAGAGAGAUUAAUACCCCAUAACAUAUUUGUUAGGCAUCUAAUGAAUAUUAAAUCUCCGGUGAUUAAGGAUGGGCAUGCGGCUGAUUAGGUAGUUGGUGAGGUAAUGGCUCACCAAGCCAACGAUCAGUAGGGGGUCUGAGAGGAUGUCCCCCCACACUGGUACUGAGACACGGACCAGACUCCUACGGGAGGCAGCAGUAGGGAAUAUUGGACAAUGGAGGCAACUCUGAUCCAGCCAUUCCGCGUGCAGGAAUAAGGCCCUAUGGGUCGUAAACUGCUUUUGUAUGGGAAAAAAUCAUCUUACGUGUAAGGUGUUGAUGGUACCAUGAGAAUAAGGAUCGGCUAACUUCGUGCCAGCCGCCGCAGUAAAAC